rnacentral:rRNA from 1 species
GAUUAACGCUGGCGGCGUGCCUAACACAUGCAAGUCGAACGAGGUAGCAAUACCUAGUGGCAGACGGGUGAGUAACGCGUGGUCAACCUACCCUAGAGUGGGGGAUAACUAGCCGAAAGGUUAGCUAAUACCGCAUGAAACGUGCCGGGACAUCCCGGAACGUUAAAAGGAGCAAUCCGCUCAAGGACGGGACCGCGUCCGAUUAGCUAGUUGGUGAGGUAAUGGCUUACCAAGGCUCCGAUCGGUAGCUGGUUUGAGAGAGCGACCAGCCACACUGGGACUGAGAAACGGCCCAGACUCCUACGGGAGGCAGCAGUGAGGAAUUUUCCGCAAUGGGCGAAAGCCUGACGGAGCGACGCCGCGUGUGGGAAGAAGGCCUUCGGGUCGUAACC